rnacentral:rRNA from 1 species
UGGGAACGUGCCUUUCGGUUCGGGACAACCCAGGGAAACUUGGGCUAAUACCGGAUACGCCCUUCGGGGGAAAGAUUCAUUGCCGAAAGAUCGGCCCGCGUCGGAUUAGCUAGUUGGUGGGGUAAAGCCUACCAAGGCGACGAUCCGUAGCUGGUCUGAGAGGAUGACCAGCCACACUGGGACUGAGACACGGCCCAGACUCCUACGGGAGGCAG